GACGAACGCUGGCGGCGUGCUUAACACAUGCAAGUCGAACGGAAAGGCCCUGCUUUUGUGGGGUGCUCGAGUGGCGAACGGGUGAGUAACACGUGAGUAACCUGCCCUUGACUUUGGGAUAACUUCAGGAAACUGGGGCUAAUACCGGAUAGGAGCUCCUGCUGCACGGUGGGGGUUGGAAAGUUUCGGCGGUUGGGGAUGGACUCGCGGCUUAUCAGCUUGUUGGUGGGGUAGUGGCUUACCAAGGCUUUGACGGGUAGCCGGCCUGAGAGGUUGGCCGGCCACAUGGGGACUGAGAUACGGCCCAGACGCCUACGGGAGGCAGCAGUGGGGAAUAUGGCGCAAUGGGCGGAAGCCAGAUGCAGCAACGCCGCGUGCGGGAUGACGGCCUUCGGGUUGUAAACCGAUUUCGCCUGUGACGAAGCGUGAGUGACGGUAAUGGGUAAAGAAGCACCGGCUAACUACGU
rnacentral:rRNA from 1 species